rnacentral:rRNA from 1 species
GAUGAACGCUGGCGGCGUGCCUAACACAUGCAAGUCGAGCGAGGGUUUGCUCAGUAUUGAGUAUUCUAAGUCUAGAAUGUUCAAUUCUGAGCAAAACCAAGCGGCGGACGGGUGAGUAACGCGUGGGUAACCUGCCCUAUACACAUGGAUAACAUACUGAAAAGUUUACUAAUACAUGAUAAUAUAUAUUUGUGGCAUCACAGAUAUAUCAAAGUGUUAGCGGUAUAGGAUGGACCCGCGUCUGAUUAGCUAGUUGGUGAGAUAACUGCCCACCAAGGCGACGAUCAGUAGCCGACCUGAGAGGGUGAUCGGCCACAUUGGAACUGAGACACGGUCCAAACUCCUACGGGAGGCAGCAGUGGGGAAUAUUGCACAAUGGGCGAAAGCCUGAUGCAGCAACGCCGCGUGAACGAUGAAGGUCUUCGGAUCGUAAAGUUCUGUUGCAGGGGAAGAUAAUGACGGUACCCUGUGAGGAAGCCCCGGCUAACUACGUGCCAGCAGCCGCGGUAAUACGUAGGGGGCUAGCGUUAUCCGGAUUUACUGGGCGUAAAGGGUGCGUAGGUGGUCCUUCAAGUCGGUGGUUAAAGGCUACGGCUCAACCGUAGUAAGCCGCCGAAACUGGAGGACUUGAGUGCAGGAGAGGAAAGUGGAAUUCCCAGUGUAGCGGUGAAAUGCGUAGAUAUUGGGAGGAACACCAGUAGCGAAGGCGGCUUUCUGGACUGCAACUGACACUGAGGCACGAAAGCGUGGGUAGCAAACAGG